rnacentral:rRNA from 1 species
AUUGAACGCUGGCGGCAGGCCUAACACAUGCAAGUCGAGCGGAGCGGCGGACGGGUGAGUAAUGCCUAGGCAUCUGCCUGGUAGUGGGGUAUAACGUCCGGAAACGGGCGCUAAUACCGCAUACUAUCAGAUGAGCCUAGGUCGGAUUAGCUAGUUGGUGGGGUAAAGGCCUACCAAGGCGACGAUCCGUAACUGUUCUGAGCGGAUGAUCAUUCACACUGGAACUGAGACACGGUCCAGACUCCUACGGUAGGCAGCAGUGGGGAAUAUUGGGCAAUGGGCGAAAGCCUGAUCCAGGCAUGCCGAGUGUGUGAAGAAGGUCUUCGGAGUGUAAAGCACUUUAAGGUGGGAGGCGGUACCAACAGAAUAAGCACCGGCUAACUUCGUGACAGCAGCCGCGGUAAUAC